CAAAGGCAUAGCUUGUAUCCCAGGGGUGUGAAGGACCUUGAAGGCUCACAUUUUUACAUCAGUGUAGUUGCACAAUUUGGGAGCACUGUAGGACCCAGCUAACAUGCUAGAGGUCCGUGGGGAUCAGGCCUCGACAUGACCAUGGUACACAACAGAAGCCAGCAUAGAGGCACGGCUGGCUGGCAGGCCCAGGCCCUCUUAGGAUCAACUUGUUCCAGUGGAGAGAGCUUGGUGAACUUGGCUCAUAGUUAUCGAAGGUUGGAAACUUUGCCAGAUGGCCCACGUCAGAAGACCCAGCAUGCCUUGCGAGCCCCCUUCUCAGAGGAUAGAUUGCUCACCUGGGCAAAGUGUUUGAUUAUCAAACAGCAAUCUACUCAAAUCUAUAAAGCCUUCUGCUUGCUGUGUCUGCCCGGUCUAACCAACUACAUUAAAACUUGGACAAGACCCAGGAGGUGGAGCAGUGGAUAAAGCAUUGGGUUUUCAAGCAUGAGGAACUGAGUUUGAUCAACUGAAUGUGCUAUAGUGGUGCUCUGACCCCUCUCUCACCACUCAUAAACAAACAAACAAACAAACGAAUAAAAUUUGCAGCCUGGGAAGUAGUGCCAUUGAUAAAGUAUUGGAUCUUCAAGCAUAAGGCACCCAAGUUGAAUCCUUGACAUCACAUAUGCCAGAGUAAUGCUCUGACUUCCUCUUUCUCCUCAUUAAUAAAUAAAAACCAGUCUUUAAUAAAAACCUUUUUUUAGUGGU